rnacentral:rRNA from 1 species
CGUAGGGUGCGAGCGUUGUCCGGAUUUAUUGGGCGUAAAGAGCUCGUAGGCGGUUCGUCGCGUCUGUCGUGAAAGCCCGCGGCUCAACUGCGGGUCUGCGGUGGAUACGGGCGGACUGGAGUCCGACAGGGGAGACUGGAAUUCCUGGUGUAGCGGUGGAAUGCGCAGAUAUCAGGAGGAACACCGGUGGCGAAGGCGGGUCUCUGGGUCGGUACUGACGCUGAGGAGCGAAAGCGUGGGGAGCGAACAGGAUUAGAUACCCUGGUAGUCCACGCCGUAAACGUUGGGCGCUAGGUGUGGGGCAUGUUUCCGCGUGUUCUGUGCCGUAGCUAACGCAUUAAGCGCCCCGCCUGGGGAGUACGGCCGCAAGGCUA